GGGGAUGUAGCUCAGUUGGCUAGAGUGCUUGACUGGCAGUCAAGAGGUCGUGGGUUCGAAUCCCAUCUUCUCCACAA
rnacentral:tRNA from 3 species